CCUCAGGGUUCAGUAUUGGGUCCAAUAUUAUUUAACAUUUAUAUGCUUCCACUUGGGCAGAUCAUUAGGAAACAUGGUCUUGGGUAUCACUGCUAUGCGGAUGAUACGCAGAUUUACAUCACCACUAGUCCUGAUGUCCAUUGCUCAUUAAUAGCUUUGCGUGGUUGUUUAGCAGAGAUCAGUAUCUGGAUGCAUAACAACUUCCUGAAGCUGAAUGGCUCCAAAACCGAACUGAUGCAGAUUGGUACAGUGGCAGCUACUCGUAAGGCCGAGCAGAUCAGUUUGAUUGUUGAUUCCUGUACAGUAAUCCCCACUUCACAGGUGCGAAAUCUUGGUGUCAUUUUUGAUUCACAAUUAUCAUUUGAAGCACACAUAAAACACAUCUCUAAAACUGCAUUUUUCCACCUGAGAAACAUAGCUCGGCUUAGACCUUUUCUCUCUUUUGCAGACACAGAAAGGCUUAUACAUGCCUUCAUAACAACUAGGUUAGAUUACUGUAAUGCCUUGUUCUCUGGCCUUCCAGCUAAGUCGUUGAGCAAGCUUCAGUAUAUACAAAAUUCUGCCGCUCGUGUGCUCACUUGUACUUCUCCUCGUGAACACAUUACACCGGUUCUUUCACAAUUACACUGGCUUCCCGUAAAUGCGAGAAUUGAUUUUAAAAUUCUUAUUUUAACAUACAAGGCACUUCAUGGGACUGCACCUGAGUAUCUUUGUGAUCUCAUCAGUCCUUAUACUCCAUCACGCUCUCUUCGCUCUACUAACUCUCUUUCACUUCACCAGCCAUCAUGUAAGCUAAAGACCAUGGGGGAAAGAGCCUUUUCAUACAAAGCCCCUAAGCUAUGGAAUGUCCUUCCUCUGCCCGUCAGAAAUGCACCAACGUUGGGUUAUUUUAAAAAGUUGAUUAAGACACAUUUAUUUAAGACUGUCUUUCUCUAAUGAAUUGUUGUAUUGCUUUUGGUGUUUUUAUUUUAUUUUAUUUAUUACUUUAUUACUGUAGCGCUUUGGGUUUAAGAAAAGCACAUUACAAAUAAAAUGUAUUAUUAUUAUUAUUUACAAACUGUAGUGCUUUAUCAGUACUCCACAUCUGUGUUCGGCUAAUGCAUAUUGUGUGGGUCUUUAUA
ensembl:lncRNA